GGCGGCAUGCUUAACACAUGCAAGUCGCACGGUUGGGGUAACUCAACAGUGGCGGACGGGUGAGUAACGCGUAGGUAUCUAUCUCCGGGUGGGGGACAACUGUGGGAAACUACAGCUAAUACCGCAUGAUGCCCGAGGGCCAAAGGCGUAAGUCGCCUGGAGAGGAGCCUGCGUACGAUUAGCUAGUUGGCGGGGUAAAGGCCCACCAAGGCGACGAUCGUUAGCUGGUCUGAGAGGAUGGUCAGCCACACUGGGACUGAGACACGGCCCAGACUCCUACGGGAGGCAGCAGUGGGGAAUAUUGGACAAUGGGCGCAAGCCUGAUCCAGCAAUGCCGCGUGAGUGAAGAAGGUCUUCGGAUUGUAAAGCUCUUUCGACGGGGACGAUGAUGACGGUACCCGUAGAAGAAGCCCCGGCUAACUUCGUGCCAGCAGCCGCGGUAAUACGAAGGGGGCUAGCGUUGCUCGGAAUGACUGGGCGUAAAGGGCGCGUANGCGGUUCGUACAGUCAGACGUGAAAUUCCCGGGCUCAACCUGGGGACUGCGUUUGAUACGUGCGGGCUUGA
rnacentral:rRNA from 1 species